rnacentral:rRNA from 1 species
UACGUAGGCAGAAAGCGUUGUUCGGAGUUACUGGGCGUAAAGGGUGCGUAGGCGGCCGUGUAAGUGUGGUGUGAAAUCUCCCGGCUUAACUGGGAGGGUGCGCUACAGACUGCAUGGCUAGAGUGUGGGAGAGGAAAGUGGAAUUCCUGGUGUAGCGGUGAAAUGCGUAGAUAUCAGGAGGAACACCGGUGGUGUAAACGGCUUUCUGGACCAUAACUGACGCUGAUGCACGAAAGCGUGGGUAGCAAAAGGG